UAUAGCAGUGUACGUACAGCUGCCUUACUCUGCACUGCCUGCGCUGGAGUGAGGCUGCUCUGUCCUUAAACACAAACUGCUUCUCGUCCUUAAGUAUCCUGGAAGCUGCAUAUUAUCUCAAGAUCACUUCAAAGGUCUCAUCAGGCAGAAGGUGAUGCUAGGAGAUGAUUUAAAGGUGAAAAUGAGAAGGUUUCCACCCCUCAAACCUUGGCCACUUUUCUGACGGCAGAGUCUGAGAGCUCAGAUGUCUCCUUUACUCUGGAAACAGGAUUUGUAACGAAAAAGAUUCUUCUUUUUUUUUUUUUUUUUUAAUCCUGAUAAAGAAGAUUAUUGGGAAGCUAUUAAAAACCCCUUAUUGUGAUACAGAUGGAUUUAAAAAAGUGUUAGAUCUUUCCGAUGAACACUAAUAGAGUGCUCUGCUCUUGGUUGGAUUACUCAGAGAAUGGCAGUGGUCUCUGCAAUGUCCUGGGUCCUGUAUUUGUGGAUAAGUGCCUGUGCAAUGCUGCUCUGUCAGGGGUCCCUCCAUCACACUUUCCAGCAGCAUCACCUGCACAGACCAGAAGGAGGAACGUGUGAAGUUAUAGCAGCACACAGAUGCUGUAAUAAGAAUCGAAUUGAGGAAAGAUCACAAACAGUAAAAUGCUCCUGUCUACCUGGGAAAGUGGCUGGGACUACAAGAAACAGACCUUCCUGUGUCGAUGCUUCUAUAGUGAUUGGGAAAUGGUGGUGUGAGAUGGAGCCCUGCCUAGAAGGAGAGGAAUGUAAGACGUUGCCUGAUAAUUCUGGAUGGAUGUGUGCAACUGGCAAUAAAAUCAAGACCACCAGAAUCCACCCAAGGACCUAACAGAGCGCCGUCUGCAAGGAGACAGUGAAAGCCCUGCUGAUUUUUGAGGACAAAGUAUUGAAAGUUUAAAACCAUCUCAGCAUUUACAAGCCAAAUGGAUUUCUUAUUUGCACUUUGACUGUUUACCAGAUAACAACAGUGGCUUUAUUGUGUGAAAGCAAGUAUUCGGUGGAAAUAAUGCCCCUGAUUUUUGACAGCUGAAAAUAAAAAGGAAGAAAAUGGUUCCUUUGGUAAAGUUUCCAAGAUUGCGAAGUACAAACAACAGUCUAAGUUUGGAUCUACAAUUUACUUUAUACCAGUUAAAGUAUAUAUAUAGAAAUAUAUAUAUAUUAAUAUAUGAUAUUUUGAAAUAAAAGCCUCACUCUUCAAGAAAUUGAAUAGUACCACACUUUGCUGCAGCUGCUGUAAAUUUUUUUCUUCUUUUUUGUAAUGGUCUGGAAGAUCCCUACGUGUUUCAGAGAGAAAUGUGGCAGUGAAGAGGCAAAGCAAACCUGCUGCGGUACAAGGAUGCCUAAGAGCUACCUGAAUCCUACCGAUGUGGCAUCCAGAGCUUCCUGUUCCCUUUGGCAGAAUGUUGAGGGCAUUUGUUGUUCCACUUUGUGUUCUGGAGGCUUUUCCCCUUGUGCAAUACUAGCAUGCUGGCUUUGCUUCAUUAACCAUACUUGAUUGAUAUAUAACAAUGAUAAUUCUAUCCUCUUCCAAGAAAAUAUUUUUAGAGCUGUUAGAUAUUCCAUGAAGAAGAGAUGGACAGCUACUGAGUGAAGUACAGUAUGUAUUAAAGGUUUAUUUGGCAGAGUUUGGUAGACUGUGAGCUCCCUUCUUAUUAAAGGUGUACUGUACGUACAAUGACUUCAGACUUUGUAUAGCUCAUAGAGACUACAGUAAAAACCCAGUAAUCAACUCCAAAGCUUUGCGUUGUUUGCUCACUAAUUCUUUGAAACAACAACAAAGCUAUUUCUUUUCAGACCAACAUGGGAGAGGGUUUUUACAUACGGUUUGUUUUUUUACAAGCCCAUUUGCAAUUGGUGAACAAGCAUUUCAGGUUAAGCAAAUGCCUCUGUGGACACCUCGAAUGCUCAGGCACACACACGCGCAAGGGACUGCCUGGCUGUGUGCUUUUAUCCCACAGCACAGAUGGGAGAAAACCCUAAAUUUAAGCUUCCCCUGUUGCAGGCCAAGCUAAUUCUCAUUGAGAGCAUCUGCCACCAGCUAAAAGUAUACACAUGGGCAAUUCCAUGGCACAGCAAAUGCACAACAGUUUGCAGUAAGCAAACUGUGUCUAAGCCCUGUCUUAAUUUCAAAAAUAGUUUCUUUCAGAUUAAUUUUAAUCUGUUUCUUACUAAUGUGAAUUCAGCUGAGUUGAGAUGCUCUUCAGCAAGGAUGCGUCCACAGAGACAUUGAUCUACUCACUGUGAGUGGUUUGAAUUCACAUUUCUAGCUAAGCUGUUGCUGUUCACCAUGCAGCCUGGCUCUUGCAUUGCUGAAGAAAGAUCACAUCUGAGGGCUGACAUGAGCAAGCCAAGUUCACAUUCCCAGGCACUUUUGCGAGCAGUCCAAUUAAUUUCAGGGGGUUUAUUCGUGUGGAAAAGUAUCCUACGGUCACGCAUAAGUCUGCACAAUCUACCUUUCAGUAUGCCUAAUGCUACUGAAUCAAAAAGGAAUAAGGAACUGUAAAACGUGUUCUACCCCGUACAGCUUAAUUUCUUUAAUAUUUCCAAUUCCCUUUCAGCCUGCUUACCUGUCUCUCACAGGACCCCUUUGGCCAUGCUGAUCACUUUUAAUCCAGUGCAGAGGAAGUGCUGCAUUUCCCAACCUAGAGUUGGUCAAAAUUCUCACGCUAACUUUCUUUCUCCUUCAGGGCAACCACUUCAGUCCCUUAUGCUUCAAGAGGCAGAAAUUUGUCACUGUAAUUACACUGUAUAUUAAAGCAGCUACAUGAUGUGUCACGCCAUACUCCAUGCCAGCUUCCUGUGCUGGUCCUUGGCUGAUGCUCACACUGGAAAAGGACAUGCUAUUUCCAAGUACCUCUAUUAUUUCCCUUUCAAAAGAUGUAAGAGUGAGAAGUGUUCAGGGAAGAAACUUGGUUUUCUUCUGUGCACAGAAAGACUAAAUAGGAGCAUGUUAUGGGUCAUAGCACGUAGAAACCAGCCUCACCCAUGGUCCAGCAGGAAGGACAUGUGUUUUCUGGCCACAGCCACCUGGCUAAACCACAGAAGAUACCUGGACCCUAGUCUAUGUUUUACAUAUGGUCCGCCAUGGCCAUGUGUGCUUCAUUCCAUCAUCUCAAUGUGGAGAGGACCAUUGCCUGCCUGGUUACCCUCAGAUAGAUGUGAUCCCAAAAUGAGAUCUCAGACUAGCUCCAGGCUCACGUACCACAAGUAAGGAGAAACUCCUCCAGAAUAAAUCCUUAGCAAUUCUUCAUUUUACUACCACAGCACUUUAAAAAACCCAGGACCCUCUAGGAAGUAGGAAGCCCUUGGUGCACUGGGAGAUAGAUUCUGCCACCUGGCAAUAAAUUGAUUAAAGGCCAGGAUAUAUUAUCAUCCCUUUAACAACAGGAACUGAAGCACACAAAGCUAAAUGGCCACUCAAAAUCACGUUGGAGGGUAUAGAAAAUCGAGCAGAAAGUGAACUUUGGUUUCCUUAUUCCAAGCCUACUGAUAACCCCACACAGCAAACUAACCGGUGGCCUCUUGUGCCCUUUGCCAAAAGCCCGAGGUAUCACCACUGAGAGUUACUUUCCCCAUAGCAGUGUAUCUGACAUGGCUCAGACUGUGAGUAGAUAACAAUGCUUUUGCCUGUGUCUAUGAAACAUGCCUGUUGAGACUGGGAAAUAUUAGCCUUGCUAAAACAUUAGAAGGAAAUGUUAUCAUUACCACAGCAAAGUUUCUUAGAGAUGUUUAUGAAUUUUUCUUUGCCAGUAGGCAGCCUUAGAUAUCACCGCACCAAGUAAACAUCUGCAUCUCUUUGAAGUUGCUGCAAAAUCUGCUCAUGAAGUGUGGCACUGAGAAAUUGAUGUUUUAAUAAAAAUGUUUUAGAGGGGAAUUAAGGCCUUUGCAAAAAUAAUGACUAAUAAAACAUGAAGUCAAAUUGAGAGCUGGAUGCAGCUCCAGUGAACCAAAUUGAAAACAAUAGUAAAAAACCCAACCAGUUUGGAGUCACAAUGAUCAUGUAUUUCGGUGAGAUGCACAGUAAUGCAGUGUGUGGCAGGAAGAUGGCAGAGCUGCUUACCUUGGCCAAUGGAAACACAAUGUGUUUCAGUGGUGGAGUAAUGGGUCCCACAUCCUCAUGAGAAAGUGACAGUCAUGCCACUCUCUGCACAAUGUUUAAGGAUAUUUACAUCCACAGAAGAGAAAGUUGAAAGUUCCUGCUUUUUGGCAGAAGUCUAGACAGAGACAUGGCAGGCAAAAAAGAAAAAUAGUUGUAAAUGCAUCCAAGAUAAAUUUAGAUUUCUGUCAAUGUUUCUUCAGAUGUGUGAAAAAACAAGUUAUGUAAAUCUGAAAUGUACAAGUUGGAAAAAAUACUGAAAAAGAAAAAAGUAUCUACCAUCUGCCUAUUGAUUCAGAAAAUCUAGAUUAUAUGCUUCUGUCCAAAAAAUCUCUGGUAAUAAAGAGCUCAGUGUGGUAUGACUUAAUAUUGCUUUGAAUAUGCUACAUGCUAUAUUUGAAGAAAUAUAUGGAGACCCAUGGAGAAAGUCCACUCCUAUGGCCAACAAUUAUGAACAGCAUGAUGUGCACCCAAAACUGGCGUUACAGAGAGAAAGGACUCUGAAGGUGAUACAGUAACUGAUGAGUGAUGCUCUUAUCAGACCUAUUGAUCGACAAUUUACAGAGUUCACAGAUAUUUUCAGUGGUGUACUCUAUUAUCACAUUCUAAAAUUAUUAGUUAUGUUCCUAACUUUCCUCAUUUGCCACUUUUCUAUUCUUCUGUACGGUCCAAGUAUAAUUACAGAUAGUAGAGAAGUUGUGGAGAUAAACAUACCUUGGCUUGGAAAGCACAUCCAUUUCAUCUGAAGGUGGCAGUAUUUGUUUCUUCUUAGUGGCAGGUUGAAUAUUGUGGUCUAAAAUGAGCUUCUCUUUUAUCAAUACCUCAGUCAUAUCCCAGGAAGCAGGGUUUAGAGCUUGCCUGACAAAGAAAUGGGUCAUGCUUCUUUGCUUGGUAUUCUAUUUUUUUGUCAGUGAAAAAUAAAAACACAUUCCACAAGUAAUCUUGCAGGUAGACAGAAGGAGAUGUGUGUGCAGGGCAGUUGGUUUAAGGCUGUCAACAAUUUUUCUAGUUCACAGGUUUGAAUUCAGAUCAUAAGCCUGACACAUAUUUAUGGUUUCUUCUCUGAAAUGCUCACACAGUCAGAGCACUUAACUUCACAAAUAUUUAUAAAACUAUGCCACUCUGAGGAAAAGAAACUGACUCUUCUACUUUGCAGUUGGAAAAUAAGACUCAUAAGACUUGGGACCUGUCCAAGGUUAUCCUAAAGAACUGCAGCAGAGCCAGCAGUAGAACUGAGGACUUCUGGAUUUUAAGUCAUCGUUGCAGAUGGUUCAUCUACAGUUCACAUCAGUAAGAUUUCACUGACUGCAGACCCUGGCUUUUAGCUCAAGUCACAGAGAGCAAAAUUAGGGUGCCUGCAGUCAAGUGUGGACAAUCGUCUGCAAGAAUCAACUGCUCAGAGCUUACUCACCUCCAUUCAGCUGGGAUUUUCAAACCACUAAUGCAUGGAAGACCACCACUAGACUUACUCCAACAUCUUCUGCUCCCACAGGGACAGUGGCACAGUCCUGCUGCUGUCUGGUUUCACAGCUCCUUAGUAGAAGUUGCUGUGAGCCUUCCAGAUUAGAUAGAGAGAUGGAAAAAAAGCACAGAAAUGGCUGUGCUUAACUGUGGUGGACUGAGAAACAAAUUUAGCCAACAGUCCUUUCAGAGGUCAUGAUUUCUCAGAGAUGCCCAUCAGAUAGAAUGAUUUUCAUGUAAAAGUUGACUUUGAGCAUAGAAAGCACACAUUCCCUUGCACCACGAGGUGCCUGAACCAGCCAAUAAGAAGCACAAAGAAGCUCAAGCAAAAAAUGUGAGCACCGCUGCCAGCGGAAAGGAUACCACACAGGGUAGCUUAAGUCAUGGGGAAAUAAAAAACCCCACUUCAUUUUUGAUAAAUAGUCAUCUGUGGGAACACUUAGCAGAUCUUUGAUUAAACUUUUUGCUGUUGCUUCACAAGUACCUCUAAUUCCUGAAUGCAGCUCAGAAAUGUGCAGAGGUCUUUCCUACAUGACAGGCUUGGGUACGAUGUCUUUUCACCCAAGACUCAUUGUCAGAUUUUUUUUUGUCUUCUCACCAUGUGGCAAUAUGGUCAAAUUUGUAUGACCAGAAACAACAUACAUGUUUGAGCAUAAAGUCACUAACCCACUUCCCAUUGUAUCUCAUCUGCUUGCUUCUUCAGAUGGCUGUCCUUGAUUCGGUUAGAAAUGAGGGCUAGAGACCCAUUCAGAUUUGAAGCAAACUACCUAUAAUCUAAAGUAUUGCUCGGGGGAAUAUGCAAUUUCUUCCUCCCACCUGCCAUUCCUCUUCAUUUUCUAUUUCAUUUCAUUUUCAUUUCAUCUCAUCCGCUCUCUUUCAUACCACAAUUAUUUUCAUCCAUCUCUAUUAGUCUUUUAUCGCCACUACUGCCCCACAGACAGAGAAAAGCAGCUAUGCCGUCAAGACCCAAUUCAAGGAGCUGUCCCCUCCAACAGCUCUGAUUUAUGUGAUGAUCUUUCUUUGCCUUUUUCCUGUGUACUUUGGAAGGUGAGAUCCCAACCCCACUACAGCUGUUACACCAGCAGCUCACCGUAUUUCAGUGCCCACAACAGCAAUCCACAGCUCAGGGCCACAGGGUCUCUCUCAGGUAUGCCCUAGUGUGUAAAGCAUAUGCUACUGAUACUUGAUUUGCAGCAGAGGAGUUAAUUGUCAGCUCCUCACCUUCACUGAACCUGUCCUGUUUGUUGCUUCUCCUACAGUCUUGUAUACCUUGACCAGAACCAAGAAGUCAGCACACAGACUACUGGGGGUUUGUCAUUAGUUUAUGCCUCUGCAAGAGGAAAAUUUAUCGCUAUUGAUUUGAUCAGAUUUGAAAUAGAGAAUGAAGAACAGGCCAAAUAGCUGUUAAAUGCACAAUAUGGGAUGUAAGCACGGACAUGUUAGGUUUUUUUCUGGGUACUUUUUUCCCCAAUGUUCUUUCAGUUACAUUUCUUUUCUGAAAGACUCUACUAUUUAGACUUGCAGAGCUUAUAUGGUAUCUCAUGUAAAGUGGCACAGAGUUUUUACAAAUCUGACACCAAGUCCCUAAAACCCUCCUAGUAUCUCACAGACACCGAUGUCAGGCAGAGAAACAGUUAGGAAAUGCUACCAGCUGAAGACAAUGAUCUCUCUGUCCUUCCUCUGCUUCAGAAAACUCUUCUCAACAAUAACAUCUCAGCUGUGCAUCUAGCAUCAACCUACAAAAAAUACUUCUGAUGGGAUCACAGUACAUCCCUUUAUCACAGAAUAAAGCUGCGAGAGAAGGAUAACAGGAUUUCUUACAGUCAGUGCUGUUCAAGAUCUGGGGGCAAAAUAAGGAAGAGCAGCCCAAAACUUUAAAAAUUGUUUAGCAUAUAAUUGUCAUUGAUUUCUAGUCCAUGCUCUCCUCCCUUAAUAUACUCCACACAUCUACCUGGAGACUACAGUAAUUCCAUCUUGAAGCACCUCCUGUAACUAUACCAUUCAAAAUCUCAAUGCUUACAAAGGAGCCCUAAAAGGCAACCACAACACACGAAGUGAGUAGACCUGGUCAAUGUGUUGCUGUCUCCAGUUUCCCUUUCAACUGCUGCCCUUACCCUCCCAACAGAAUUUGACAUGAAUACCUAUAAGAGAAUUGUUCUCCACAAAUUGCUGUGAAAUGUGAAAGUCAUCUUAUGCCUGAAUAAUUAAGGCACUCCUCUCUACCAACAGCCAGUUUCUUUCUGUACUCUUCAUUAACCCACAGCUUUCCUAUUUAAACUGAUCUAAUUAGUUCCUUACAAUUAAAGGCAGUGGUUUGGUAGAAGACUUGAAAAAUGGGAGUUCACAACAGGUAAAGUUCUUGAUCAGGAUUAUUACUAUUUUUUGAAAUCAAACCCAAAGUUUGCAUAAUGAAGAUUUCUUGGAAGAUACGAUCUAUUAAAUAGGAAAACCAGUUGUUCCUCACUAAUUGGCUCCAUCCUUCUUGGACACAUUUUCACAGACACCUAGAAUCUGGAUUUCUGAGCACAUACAAGCCUAGCAUUAAGUCAAAUGAAAACUGAAGAACUGAUCUGAAAGCAAAGAUUAACAACCUUAUCUUUCAAUUUAUCGAAACCUUAACCACAGGCUGUUCUGCUGUAAUACAGUCAGUUUCCACCUGCAGAUCACGAUUCUCUUCACUGCUGUACAAGGCACAGGCUAAACUGAAUGUAGAACACUACACAUGUGAAAUACCCCACACACCUCAGUGGUAACUUUCCUCACCUGUUAGCACUAAGAUGCCCUGGGACACAGGUGAGCUCAUCAAACAUAACCCAGCAUUCACCAGUGUGAACGAUAGUGGCUAUUCAGUUUCAAGUUUAUGCAGUACAGAGGCAAAACAGACUCAUAACAGGAGCAAAUUGAUAUUAAAACCAGUGUCCGGACAGCAGAAGAUCCACAUCUCACAGAUUACUUACAUAUAAAGCGAACAUAUACAAUGGCCAUGUUGAUAAUUUCCUUAGGAUUUAGAGAAGAGAGCAACUUCAGCUUUACAAACUUCAUGGUUGCUUGAUCUCACUACAGUAAACAGCUCCAUAUUUUUCCUUUUCAUGUUUUAUCCUGAAGCAACAGAGCAUUACAUUAAUUGACUUGUCUUAUUAAUUCAAUAAGCUGCUUCCAAGAUGAAAUGCUUAGCUAUGCUUGCUUGUUUUUGGCACUUUUUGGUUGUUGGAAGAAAAGCUUUAAGGCUAGAAUUGCUCUGAUGUUUUCCACAGUUCACUGAGUAAUUUUAUGCACUACUGAAGAUUUGCCACAUUUGGAAUUACUGCAAACUGCUGCUUUUUCAUCAUAUUAUAAUUUAAUUCACACUUUUAGUAUGAUAAGAAAACAUUUAACAGUUUGCAUAUUAGAGAAGUGUAUUUGUUCUGCCAUAAAGUUGUAGUUAAGAAUUCAUUAUAGGUCAUUCCUUUCUAGGAUUUAUAAUUUGGACAUAAGAUGCAUUUAGAAGAUUAAGGAUGACAUAAAAGCCACCCCAUUCAAAUGAAUUAUAUGCAAUGAAAUUCAGGGAGAAAAAAUUGACCUUGCUGUAAAUAUAGCAAAAAUAAUUUACUGCAAAGUUGAAUAAGAUUGAGAUAUUUUUACUAUUUCGGCAAGUUAUCGGAGAAGAGGUGAAAGUGUUUUAAACUCUAAGAAACUUGAAUGCCAAUAAACAUACCUGAUGCUUCCUUAAGGGAAAAAUACUCAUGCAACUAUGUGGAUUCUUAGAUUUCAACUUCGUUAGCAAACAUGAACUCUGGGUUUUUCUUUCAACUGGUGAAAAAGAUGAUGGUUUUGGUGUGUGAACUGAGUGAAAAUGAAAUUUCUUUUUUUCACCGAGCUUGUACUUUUUCAAGAAGCUGGCCAGGGGUUGUCAAUGCUCUUACCUUUGGGAAAUCUCCUUCCAUUCAUUGCCCAGCUCUAGGCUUGCCCAUAUGGUCUGUUUUGAAGCAAGGUACAGCAUCGUAGUGGUUUAACCCCAGUUGGCAACUAGGGACCAUACAUCCACUCACUGAUGAAACUGAGGGGCUGUGGGCACCUCCAGUCUCUCUGAUGAGGAAAGGGGGUGAGUUCUCAUCAGUGAUUGCUUUUCAACAUAUAGAUACUACAACUCCCUGUAUCUCUGCUCCAGAUCCUGACACUCACUAAAGUCCCUUACAGAGCUCCUGGCAAUAGCACUGCAUUUAAGCUGCUUCUAGGGUGAUGCCUGGCCUGGGCUGGUGCUACUGCAGAGAUCAAGGGCUGUACACAAAUAGAGUGAAAACCAGAAUGCUACAAGAAGGAGCCAGUCCCUGGAGAACCAGGUCAGUUGUUCCUGCUCAAAGGGAUAGGAAGGCAUGCCUGCAUAAACUGUUCUUCACACGCUCCCUCAUCUGCAAGCUAUAUUUUGUAACCCAGCGAUAAGUCUGGCAGCUUGGUGCUCAGAGGUAAUGCUGGUGGUCAAGACAGCGGUUCCCACCAGCCCUGCUAUGGGUUGGUGCAGUGGGUGACAAACCUUCUCACCACAGAGCCAGUUACACUCACUGCUGCAGUAAAAAUCAAUCUGGUAAUCAGAAGGCUUUGAGUCAAAAUAAAGACAUCCCUGCAGUGAGGUCCUAUUUUUAAGUGAAGGUUAUUGAUCAGGUUUCUGGCCUUAAGAAAUCAAAACAUAGUUUAUGCUCAGAGUGACCUGUAGGUGUUUGCACAACAAUUAAUACCCGCAGCUAAAGGUAAUGCAGCUGGACACAUGGCAAUAGGUUUUUUCCUUGAAACAUUUUACCCUUACAGCCACUACCUCUAACUCUUCAUUAUGUGUCCCCACACUCUUUGCAUUUCAAAAUUAUCACACUAAGCAAAGCUCAAUGCACUGUUUAAAUGACUAAGGAACAUCUGGUAAGAUGAGGCUGCUGGGACUCCAUGGACAGAUAAAGUUGUAGCACUUUUCCUCUGUAUAUGGAAAUGUAUUGUAAAUUAAAUCUACAAAUCGUCUGAAAAGGCACAGGUCAGAAAGGAAGUGGAGAAAUACCAUCAUUUGUGCCAAGGUCAAAUUCCAUGCAGCUUAGCUUAAAGUCAGUGCAUUUUCAGGCAUUGUAGAGUUCACUCAUUGUUUUGUAUUUUAAUGGUUUUCUAAAGGCACUUAUGACAUCAUAUUUGCCUUCACAAUAUAUGUCCCAAAUAUACUACAAACC
rnacentral:lncRNA from 1 species